ACGUACACUCCUGCGGGAGGCAGCAGUGGGGAAUUUUGGACAAUGGGCGAAAGCCUGAUCCAGCCAUGCCGCGUGCAGGAUGAAGGCCUUCGGGUUGUAAACUGCUUUUGUACGGAACGAAACGGCCUUUUCUAAUAAAGAGGGCUAAUGACGGUACCGUAAGAAUAAGCACCGGCUAACUACGUGCCAGCAGCCGCGGUAAUACGUAGGGUGCAAGCGUUACUCGGAAUUACUGGGCGGAAAGCGUGCGCAGGCGGUUAUGUAAGACAGUUGUGAAAUCCCCGGGCUCAACCUGGGAACUGCAUCUGUGACUGCAUAGCUAGAGUACGAUAGAGGGGGAUGGAAUUCCGCGUGUAGCAGUGAAAUGCGUAGAUAUGCGGAGGAACACCGAUGGCGAAGGCAAUCCCCUGGACCUGUACUGACGCUCAUGCACGAAAGCGUGGGGAGCAAACAGGAUUAGAAGCCCCAGUAGUCCCA
rnacentral:rRNA from 1 species